rnacentral:rRNA from 1 species
UACGGGGGGGGCAAGCGUUGUUCGGAAUUACUGGGCGUAAAGGGCUCGUAGGCGGCCAACUAAGUCAGACGUGAAAUCCCUCGGCUUAACCGGGGAACUGCAUCUGAUACUGGAUGGCUUGAGUUCGGGAGAGGGAUGCGGAAUUCCAGGUGUAGCGGUGAAAUGCGCAGAUAUCGGGAGGAACACCUAUGGCGAAGGCAGCUCGCUGGGACGUUACUGACGCUGAGACGCGAAAGCGUGGGGAGCAAACAGG